GAAACCUGAGCUAAUACCGGAUAAUAUAUUGAACCGCAUUGUUCAAUAGUGAAAGACGGUUUUGCUGUCACUUAUAGAUGGAUCCGCGCCGCAUUAGCUAGUUGGUAAGGUAACGGCUUACCAAGGCGACGAUGCGUAGCCGACCUGAGAGGGUGAUCGGCCACACUGGAACUGAGACACGGUCCAG
rnacentral:rRNA from 1 species